rnacentral:rRNA from 5 species
GAACGGGUGAGUAACACGUGGGCAAUCUGCCCUUCACUCUGGGACAAGCCCUGGAAACGGGGUCUAAUACCGGAUACCACUCCUGCCUGCAUGGGCGGGGGUUGAAAGCUCCGGCGGUGAAGGAUGAGCCCGCGGCCUAUCAGCUUGUUGGUGGGGUAAUGGCCCACCAAGGCGACGACGGGUAGCCGGCCUGAGAGGGCGACCGGCCACACUGGGACUGAGACACGGCCCAGACUCCUACGGGAGGCAGCAGUGGGGAAUAUUGCACAAUGGGCGAAAGCCUGAUGCAGCGACGCCGCGUGAGGGAUGACGGCCUUCGGGUUGUAAACCUCUUUCAGCAGGGAAGAAGCGAAAGUGACGGUACCUGCAGAAGAAGCGCCGGCUAACUACGUGCCAGCAGCCGCGGUAAUACGUAGGGCGCAAGCGUUGUCCGGAAUUAUUGGGCGUAAAGAGCUCGUAGGCGGCUUGUCACGUCGGAUGUGAAAGCCCGAGGCUUAACCUCGGGUCUGCAUUCGAUACGGGCUAGCUAGAGUGUGGUAGGGGAGAUCGGAAUUCCUGGUGUAGCGGUGAAAUGCGCAGAUAUCAGGAGGAACACCGGUGGCGAAGGCGGAUCUCUGGGCCAUUACUGACGCUGAGGAGCGAAA